CAUGGCCAGCCGCUUAUUGGGCGUCUGUACACGUCACAGUCUAACCCGGAAGUGCAGUGACAGCGCCUCUUAAAAUCCUUCAUCCCUUUCGCGGAACAGCAAAACAAAGCUUGCCAAGAAGCUCAGGCUUUGGACAGACAUGCAGCACUGACACACCUACAGACAGAGAGACCUGACAGACAGAGUCCAGCUGGCGAGUCAUGGCAGCAGCAAGCGGAACAGAUGUGCGAGGAACUUUGAUCUAGGGUGCCUGUAGCUAUUUUGGAGUUUGGACAUCCUGUUAUACUGGAUUCAUCUCUCUGCAGCUCUCCGUACGGCAGGUGUUGUUUAAGAGGCGGCCAGCUUGACUGAUUAUUGGCCCUUCCCUCCCCUACACGGCCCAUACCACCUCACCCCACAUCUGGCUGGUGCACCGGCCCCAUUCCGAUCAUCUCUGCAUCAAGGCUGGCAAUGUCCAGAGUCCCAAGCCCCCCUCCCCCGGUGGAAAUGUCCAGCAUUCCCAUGGCUGAGAGCUGGUGUUAUACUCAGAUCAAAGUGGUGAAGUUCUCCUACAUGUGGACCAUCAACAACUUCAGCUUCUGUCGCGAGGAGAUGGGAGAAGUCAUCAAAAGCUCCACUUUCUCCUCAGGAGCCAACGACAAACUCAAAUGGUGUUUGCGUGUGAACCCUAAAGGUCUGGAUGAGGAGAGUAAAGACUAUCUGUCACUUUACUUGCUCUUAGUCAGCUGCCCAAAAAGUGAGGUGCGCGCCAAGUUUAAGUUUUCAAUCCUCAAUGCCAAGGGAGAAGAGACCAAAGCCAUGGAGAGCCAGAGAGCGUACCGUUUUGUCCAGGGGAAGGACUGGGGUUUCAAAAAGUUCAUAAGGAGGGACUUCCUGCUGGAUGAGGCCAACGGUCUGCUGCCCGAUGACAAAUUAACACUCUUCUGCGAGGUGAGUGUGGUGCAGGACUCUGUGAACAUCUCAGGCCAGAACACAAUGAACAUGGUGAAGGUUCCUGACUGCAGGCUGGCUGAGGAGCUCGGAGAUUUGUGGGAAAACUCUAGAUUUACUGACUGCUCCCUGUGUGUUGCCGGCCAGAAAUUCCAGGCGCACAAAGCCAUCCUAGCAGCUCGCUCGCCGGUGUUCAGUGCCAUGUUUGAGCACGAGAUGGAAGAAAGUAAGAAGAACCGUGUGGAGAUAAAUGACGUGGAGCCAGAUGUCUUCAAAGAGAUGAUGUGCUUCAUCUACACAGGCAAGGCCCCCAACCUGGACAAGAUGGCUGAUGACCUGCUGGCUGCAGCUGACAAGUAUGCUCUGGAGAGGCUGAAGGUGAUGUGCGAGGACGCUCUGUGCACGAGUCUGAGUGUGGAGAACGCCGCAGAGAUCCUCAUUCUUGCCGACCUGCACAGCGCCGACCAGCUCAAGACGCAGGCUGUGGACUUCAUCAACUAUCACGCAGCUGAUGUGAUGGAGACAUCGGCCUGGAAGUCCAUGGUGAUCUCUCACCCACACCUGGUAGCAGAGGCCUAUCACUCCCUGGCCUCGGCUCAGUGCCCCUUCCUGGGUCCCCCAAGAAAACGGCUCAAACAGUCCUAGUGGUCCGGAGAGACUCGCUGUCAUAACCCUGCUGUGUCUACCUGUACCGGCAACCUCACUGCUCCUCCCCCCCAGUCCUCCUCUCUCUCCUACAGCAUCCAGAGACGCCCAAGAGUGAAACCCAAGGCUAGAUAUGGCUAGGGCCAUAGCCAGAGCUACUCAGCUGGGCAGACCAGAGAAUUACAGGACUGAUGCCACAGAAGAGAAGGAGAGAAGGGAGUGGGAUAGAAAAUCCCUCAUUUCACCACUGUGCAGAGGAAUGCCAGCAUGAUGUAUGAGGUCACUCGUCCUUCAAGAAGCUUUGCUCUAUCCGCUUUUAUCAGGCAAGCUGUUCCACCAACACACACACACACACACACACACACACACACACACACACACAGCCUCACAAACAAGCCUGUGCAUACCUGAAAGGUCACUGUGAGGAAUGUGGGUCCAUCACUUUGGCUAUUACCCUUCAUUAGUUGUAAAAUAUCUCUGUCCAGCUGACUCUGUGAAAUAGUUGCUGCUUAUGAGACGUUUCUUUCAGGAGCUCAUGAAUUCUUCAAAUGGCCGAUUGCCCUCCUCCACUGAAGUCCCUGAUCGCUCAGGUGAGCUGAUGGGUCCAAGCUGAAGUCUUCACACAUUCUCCUCACGCCUGAGUGAGGUGAGUUCGUGUGUCAGUCCUCCUCGUCAUGAGUGUGUAACAGUCACACACACACACACUCCCGCCUGGUUAAGAAUUCCAUCAAGACCCCCAAAGCUGAUGCUGUUUUGCUUGCUUUUUUGUUUAUGUACUGCUGUAUUCCUUUCUUUAUUUACGCUCACUUCGAAGUUUUCAUUAAAAUGCAAAGGAUUUUUGCCUCUCUCACUUAUUCUUCAAUCUGCCAAUUUCCCCCCACUGCACUUGAGAAUUAUCUUGACUUGUAAGGCUUUGCAAGUUUGUCUUUCUCUGUUUCUUACUCAUUCUCUCUCUCUUUCUCGGGUGCUCCUGGGGUCCAGUUAUUUCUCAGCUGGGAAAAUACAAAUAUCUCUUCUGCAGUGGGCAAAUUACUCACUCUGACUGUUUCUGUGAACUUUAAGUUUUACAUCUCAGCAUUAGAGCAGUCAGUCAUUUAUUAUUGAUUGUAGAUCUCCUUAUAACCAUCUGCACCAAGAAUGUCUGACCUUAAAGCUGAUAUUUUAGUUGUCAUCUCAGGAACAUGAUUCAAAUUAUAACAAUUAAAUGACAAUAAACAACCAGCCAUAUCACUCAGGAGUGGCAUGGUGUGGGCGGUUUCUGUUUACUGAUGGUUUUACAUGAAAAUAAAUUGGAUCCAUGCAUUAGAGGUGAUUUAUAUAAACACACUGAUAAUAAACUUUAUAUGAAAAACAAUAUUCAAAGUGCUUCACAGUUAAGAUGAAGGCAGCAGAAUAUAUCAGGAAAACAGUCUUUUCUCCCUCAAACACUCAUGCAAGUUCUUCCUCAUUUGAAUUAAGACUUUUCUACCAUGCAGGUGUCCAGUAAUUUUGUGGGAUGUGUUUUAUUUUUUUUAAGAGUGAUCCUAAAAAAGUGACACAAGAUGAUGUGGGCUGUGUUAAUGAGCCACAUCAUCAUGAAAUCCAAAGUGAAUAUAUAAACAAAUGAAUUACAGUAGCUGCACAAAGGUGUGUUUGCAAUGAUGGGAAUAAUAAUCAUCACUGUCCUGCCGCUCCAGCUAAUGACUUUGAGCACGAUGCCUUGUACAAUAUGUAUCACUGCUCCAUUGCUGCUAAUUUGGAGUUUGUAAUUGCAGUCUGUCUAGAGUUUAAACAAAUAUUACACCAUAGAUUAAAGCUGUAAACCAUAACUUCUCAUGACUUUUAAUUUUUGCAUUAUUGCUGAAGUUUCUUUCGGUGCAGCUUUUUUUUUUUGUCUGUUGAGCCAUGCAAACAUUUCUUCAUCUAUUUUUUACAAACACAAUUGCCUGCGCACAUACAGUAAAGAUUUUCCCCAUAACAGAGUAAACAGCAGAGUGAAAGCUUUCAUAAACUGGCCGCACAGUAAGUAGGUUGAAUCACUCCUUUGCUGCAGCAAUCAGUGAGUUGAAUGUGCUGCUCCAGUGGGGAUCCAUUAAUAAACAGCUGACGACAUGACGCACACUAUAAACCAGAAACAGUGGGGAGGGACUGUGCUUACUGAUUAUAAUGAAGGACUUCACAAAGGGAACUUCAGAGACACACACUGCACACAUACAAACAUUUGACGCCUGUCCAUGUUGUGCUUUUCAAGAGGAAAGAUUUUGUUCACACUGUGUUUUAGCCAGUUGUAUGUGAGAGGCUACUGUUGAUGGACUAUUUGGAACAGCUGACAUGGAGUCUGAUGGGGAUUCUCUUGUUUGUUCCAACUAUUCUCUCCUCCUUUUUUUGUCCUCUGUGCCGAGGAAAAGAUGCAGCUCAGAUCUCUGUUGGACAAAACAUCUGUUCAGCCUCUGAGGAAAUUUAGGCGGAGUGUGAAGUAAAACUUGUGUGUCCA